ACCCCUUCCAGCAUGGCCAGGUAGCACAGCUGAGCCAGGGAUGAUGGGGCCAUAUUGGGUUUGGCUCUGCCUUGCAGCUGGCAGUCCAAACACUGAGGACAUGCAUAUUUCUGCAGGCCAGUGAGACCCAUUUCUACCAAAAAAAAAAAAAAAAAAUCAAGAAAUUAGCUGGACAUGGUGGCACAUGCCUGUGGCCCCAGUUACAUGGCAUGGCAGGCUGAGGCAGGAAGAUCACUUGAGCCCAGGAGGUGGAGGCUGCAGUGACCCAUAUACAUGCCACUGCACUCCAGCCUGGGCAACAGAGUGAGACCCUCUCUCAAAAACAGAUAAAGUGGACAGAAAAUAGGUUGGUAAGGACUAAUCAUUUAAGGGACAAGCCCCCAGAAGAGUGGCUACUAGAGUGGGAGGAGGAAAAGCAGAAGGAGAAAGAGUUGAAGACAGGCGAGGCUGUGGUCCCAGUGCUGAAUUCUGCCAAGCAGUGACUUGAUUCAUGAACACUCACUGGAUGCUGACUCUGUUGCUCUUCUGAGUGCUGGGGUAGAGGAGAGGAGAGGUGGAGCCCAGUUCUUGCUUUUAGGAGCUUAUGUUCUAGGAAGUUCAAGUAUUUUUUCAGGUAGUAUGAAAUAGCAGGAAGAGGAAGCAGGCUAAAGGGACACAGAGUGAUUGGGGGCUAUUUUAAGUAGAAUGAUAAGGAAGAGCCUGUCUAGAGAGCUAUUUGAACAAUGACCUGACUGAAGGGACAACAGAAAGCAGUGCUGACAUUACAGGUAGCAGGAUGACUGCCAAGACAGAAACGCAUUUCAUAUGUGUUUGAGGAACAAACAGCAAGGUGACCAGCAUGGGGAGAGUGAAGAAUGAGGGAAACCUUGAAUGAGAGUAAAGCAAUUCCAUCUUGGAGGCUAAUCUGCCAUAUUCUGAUUAAUCCCAGUUCCAAGAAUUCAUCUACAAUUUCUAUUUUAUCUUUUUAAAAAUAUUAUUUUUUAUUUUUUAUUUUUUGAGACAGUCUCACUCUGUCUCCCAGGUUGGACUGCAGUGGCACAAUCUCAGCUCACUGCAAACUUCACCUCCUGGGUUCAAGCGAUUCUCCUGCCUCAGCUUCCCGAGUAACUGGGAUUACAGGCGCCUGCCACCAUGCCUGGCUAAUUUUUGUAUUUUUAGUACAGAUGAGGUUUUACCAUGUUGGCCAGGCUGGUCUGGAACUCCUGACCUCAGGUGAUCCGCCCACCUUGGCCUCCCAAAGAGCUGGGAUUACAGGCGUGAGCCACCGUGUCUGGCCAUACACAUCCCUGCCGAAGCCCGCAUUACCCUUCCCCUAUGCUAUAGAAGCCCUGGGUCGGGGGGGUGGGGGUAAUGGCACAGGGAUCCACCAUCUUAUCUUGGUGCCAUCCCUGACUUGGCUUCUGUUCAUAAACGCCUAUUAAAUGUUUCUUUCUGAGAAACUGGAUUUGUCAGCCUCUUUCUUUGGUAUCUCAGGUUCCUUGGCCUUUGCGGGUAGGUUUAUAUAGACCUGCUCAGCACAGGACAGGCAGUUUCUCAAAAAAUUAAAAAUAGAAUUACCAAAUGAUCCAGCAAUAUCACUUCUGGGUAUAUAGCCAAAAUAAUUGAAAGCAAGGUCUCAUAGAAAUAUUUGUACACUGAUAUUUAUAGCAGUGGUAUUCACACUCAUCAAAAGAUGGAUGCAGCCUAAUUGUCCAUAGGCAGAUGAAUUGAUAAAAUGUGGUAUAUACAUACAAUAAAAUAUUCUUCAGCCUUAAAA
rnacentral:lncRNA from 1 species